rnacentral:tRNA from 1 species
GGAAUGUAGCUCAGUGGUACAGCACCUGCCUGGUAAGCAUGAGGCCCUGAGUUCAAUUCCCAGUACCA